rnacentral:rRNA from 1 species
UACGGAGGGUGCAAGCGUUAUCCGGAUUUACUGGGUUUAAAGGGUGCGUAGGUGGGUUGGUAAGUCAGUGGUGAAAUCUCCGGGCUUAACCCGGAAACUGCCAUUGAUACUAUAGGUCUUGAAUUAUCUGGAGGUAAGCGGAAUAUGUCAUGUAGCGGUGAAAUGCUUAGAUAUGACAUAGAACACCAAUUGCGAAGGCAGCUUACUACGGAUUGAUUGACACUGAGGCACGAAAGCGUGGGGAUCAAACAGG